ACUUCAAUGAAGCAGUGAUUGAAGAAGAAAAGAAAUUGUUAGAGAACAUUGAAAAGUGGGAAGUAAUUCAAGAACAAAUAAUGAGACAGAAGUCAAGAGCAAACUGGAUCAUUGUUAGAGAACAUUGAAAAGUGGGAAGUAAUUCAAGAACAAAUAAUGAGACAAAAAUCAAGAGCAAACUGGAUCCAGCUGGGUGAUAGCAAUAAAAAGUACUUCCAUGCAUAUAUGACGUCCAUACAAGCAAGAAAUAGGGUGAGCAACAUUCUCAAAGACAACCAGAU
rnacentral:lncRNA from 1 species